UACGUAGGGGGCUCGCGUUGUCCGGAAUCAUUGGGCGUAAAGAGCGUGUAGGCGGCCCGAUAAGUCCGCUGUGAAAGUCCAGGGCUCAACCCUGGAAUGCCGGUGGAUACUGUCGGGCUCGAAUCCGGAAGAGGUGAGUGGAAUUCCUGGUGUAGCGGUGAAAUGCGCAGAUAUCAGGAGGAACACCAAUGGCGAAGGCAGCUCACUGGGACGGUAUUGACGCUGAGACGCGAAAGCGUGGGGAGCAAACAGG
rnacentral:rRNA from 1 species